GUGCUUGCUUCAGCAGCACGUGUACUAAAAUUGGAACGAUACAGAAAAGAUUAGCAUUGCCCUACACAAGGAUGACAUGCAAAUUUGUUAAGCAUUCCAUAUUUAA